rnacentral:RNase_P_RNA from 21 species
UACGGGCGAACGCUGCACUUCCCCGAUCUCAUACGCGCAGAAAUGUGCUUUUCAUUCCUCGGGGGGGUAAGGUCGGAGGAACAUCUUCGUUGCGUGCUCGUGAGGAGCGGUGAAUGAUUAAUUCAGCCAGAUGUACCAGAAAUUCGACAAAAGCACACAAGUGUGGAUGUCUUGGAACGCAUCUGAGAAGAUUUCUUUUAGUGCAAUGUGCGGCACCUGCUUUGCGGGAAACUCAAUUCCGACUAAUCUUGCACGUA